rnacentral:rRNA from 1 species
CCUACGGGAGGCAGCAGUGGGGAAUCUUCCGCAAUGGGCGAAAGCCUGACGGAGCGACGCCGCGUGGGUGAAGAAGGCCUUCGGGUCGUAAAGCCCUGUCUAGGGGGACGAUAAUGACGGUACCCCUAGAGGAAGCCCCGGCUAACUACGUGCCAGCAGCCGCGGUAAUACGUAGGGGGCGAGCGUUGUCCGGAAUUACUGGGCGUAAAGGGCGUGUAGGCGGUUUGUCAAGUCAGGUGUGAAAUUUUAAGGCUCAACCUUAAGACUGCGCCUGAAACUGACAGGCUUGAGGGCAGGAGAGGAGAGCGGAAUUCCCAGUGUAGCGGUGAAAUGCGUAGAUAUCACGAGGAACUCCGAUUGCGCAGGCAGCUUACUAAACCACUACUGACGCUCAGGCACGAAGGCGUGGGGAUCAAACAGGAUUAGAUACCCUGGUAGUCAC